rnacentral:rRNA from 1 species
ACUCGAGUGGCGAACGGGUGAGUAACACGUGGGUGAUCUGCCCUGCACUUCGGGAUAAGCCUGGGAAACUGGGUCUAAUACCGGAUAGGAGCCAUUUUUAGUGUGAUGGUUGGAAAGUUUUUCGGUGUAGGAUGAGCUCGCGGCCUAUCAGCUUGUUGGUGGGGUAAUGGCCUACCAAGGCGGCGACGGGUAGCCGGCCUGAGAGGGUGGACGGCCACAUUGGGCUGAGAUACGGCCCAG